GACGAACGCUGGCGGCGUGCCUAAUACAUGCGAGUUGAGCGCUGAAGGUUGGUACUUGUACCAACUGGAUGAGCAGCGAACGGGUGAGUAACGCGUGGGGAAUCUGCCUUUGAGCGGGGGACAACAUUUGGAAACGAAUGCUAAUACCGCAUAAAAACUUUAAACACAAGUUUUAAGUUUGAAAGAUGCAAUUGCAUCACUCAAAGAUGAUCCCGCGUUGUAUUAGCUAGUUGGUGAGGUAAAGGCUCACCAAGGCGAUGAUACAUAGCCGACCUGAGAGGGUGAUCGGCCACAUUGGGACUGAGACACGGCCCAAACUCCUACGGGAGGCAGCAGUAGGGAAUCUUCGGCAAUGGACGAAAGUCUGACCGAGCAACGCCGCGUGAGUGAAGAAGGGUUUCGGAUCGUAAAACUCUGUUGGUGGAGAAGAACGUUGGUGAGAGUGGAAAGCUCAUCAAGUGACGGUAACUACCCAGAAAGGGACGGCUAACUACGUG
rnacentral:rRNA from 1 species